GGGGAGAUACCAAAGUGGCCAACGGGGCGGACUGUAACUCCGCUGACUUUCGUCUUCGUAGGUUCGAAUCCUGCUCUCCCCA
rnacentral:tRNA from 1 species